rnacentral:rRNA from 1 species
GACGAACCGUGCGAACGUUGUUCGGAUUCACUGGGCUUAAAGGGCGCGUAGGCGGAAGGUCAAGUCCGAGGUGAAAUCUUUCGGCUCAACCGGAAAAGUGCCUUGGAUACGGAUCUUCUCGAGGGAGGUAGGGGCAUGUGGAACUUCCGGUGGAGCGGUGAAAUUCGUAGAUAUCGGGAGGAACACCAGUGGCGAAGGCGCUGACCUGGACGAUGAUUGACGCUGAGGCGCGAAAGCGUGGGGAGCAAACAGG